GUACUGUGCAAACGUUAUUCGGAAUCACUGGGCUUAAAGGGGGGUGCGUAGGCGGUUAGAUAAGUAGGAUGUGAAAUCCCCCGGCCCAACCGGGGAACUGCGUUCUAAACUGUCUGACUUGAGUAAGAUAGGGGUGUGCGGAACUUCCAGUGGAGCGGUGAAAUGUGUUGAUAUUGGAAGGAACGCCGGUGGCGAAAGCGGCACACUGGGUCUUAACUGACGCUGAGGCACGAAAGCUAGGGUAGCGAACGGGAUUAGAUACCCCGGUAGUCCUAGCUGUAAACGAUGAGCACUAGACGGGAGGGGCUUCGGCCUUUCCGGUUGCAGCGAAAGCAUUAAGUGCUCCGCCUGGGGAGUAUGGUCGCAAGGCUG
rnacentral:rRNA from 1 species